GCAUCGGUCGCCUAGUGGUUUUUGGCAUCUGCCUUUUAAGCAGACAAACGUGAGUUCGAUCCUCACCCGGUGCA
rnacentral:tRNA from 1 species